AUAUUUACCUUGCAGGGGGGAUACGAUGACCAUCAAUGUCAUUUUCCCAGGGUGAGGCUUAUCCAUGUACUGCUCCCUACGAUAUCCCCAAAUGACGGAAGCUCAGCUGAUAGUUUAUGGGAGUGGAGAAUGAUUUUGUGCUCUUCC
rnacentral:snRNA from 1 species